rnacentral:tRNA from 1 species
GGGGCUAUAGCUCAGGUGGAUAGAGCAGGAGUUUCCUAAACUCAAGGUCGCAGGUUCGAGUCCUGCUAGCCCCGCCA